CCUACGGGCGGCAGCAGUGGGGAAUAUUGGGCAAUGGGCGCAAGCCUGACCCAGCAACGCCGCGUGAAGGAAGACGGCUUUCGGGUUGUAAACUUCUUUUAAGCGGGGAGAGCAGAAGACGGUACCUCUUGAAUAAGCGACGGCUAACUACGUGCCAGCAGCCGCGGUAAUACGUAGGUGGCAAGGGUUUUCCGGAUUUACUGGGGGUAAAGGGCGUGUAGCCGGGCUGACAAGUCAGAUGUGAAAUUCCGGGGCUUAACCCCGGACCUGCAUUUGAAACUGUUGGUCUUGAGUAUCGGAGAGGCAGGCGGAAUGCCUAGUGUAGCGGUGAAAUGCGUAGAUAUUAGGAGGAACACCAGUGGCGAAGGCGGCCUGCUGGACGACAACUGACGGUGAGGCGCGAAAGCGUGGGGAGCAAACAGGAUUAGAUACCCUAGUAGUC
rnacentral:rRNA from 1 species